rnacentral:lncRNA from 1 species
AUUUUAAAUCUAAAAUACACAUCCAUCUCUAUACUUAAAUGGAUUGGAUAAAAUUUAUCCCAUUCAGAUCGGAUCAGAUUGGAUAUCCAAUAGGAUGACUAAAAUUGUGCAAUCAUGGUUGAGAAAGCAUCCAAUAGAACUUGCUCCAAAAACUUCUAGCUACUAAGGGUGCAAAUGAGUCGGGUCGGAUUAGGUCAUGAGUGACCCCAAUCCGAUCCGGUUCUUUGAUUGGGUUUUAAUAUUAGACUCAAACUCAAUCCAAUAGAAGAUCAGAUUGGAUCCAUGAUUAAUUUUUUUGACCCAACGGGUCAUUUGGAUCGGAUCAGAUGUAUAUAUAAUCCAGCUCUAAUCCAUGAAAUAUGGAUCCAGUUCAGAUCCAAUUUAGGUCUAGAUUAGAUUUGGGUA